rnacentral:lncRNA from 1 species
AUGCUUUUUCUUUUUGUUUAUUUCAGUUUACAUAGAUGGUAUCUUCUUAAGAUGAUAACUGCUUUUCAAUAUGAUCAAUUGUCAUUCUACUUCAUUAGCAAAAAAUCUCAAAGUGUUAAGAUGAUUAAUGUAACUGUCAGGUGGAAUAUUCGUAAAUUUAGGUGACUUACCUCACAGGCAAAGACAUACUAUAUAUCAAGGGUUUUGUGCUUCAUGCACUUUGCAAAACACAACUUUGACUUAAGUAAAUGCAUGCUAAAUUACAAAUAAGAAGGAAAAAGAGGGGAAAAGCAAGAUGCUUUUUGGUUUUUAUUUCAAAACAGUUUUAAAAACAGAUACUUUUACUGUAUGUUUAAACAAAAUAUAGUCCUCCUGAUUUGAAGUUUUGGACUGCACAGAAAUUAUUAGUUAAAAUAUUAAUAAUUAAAAAGGUUUCUCUGAAAAGAAAAUCCAUGUAUAAAAAGAGAGGGGGAGGUGAUAUCGCAGUGUCCUGUGAGCAAACCUAAGCUUUGUGCCUUUAAUCUUUUCCCCAUUGAACAGAAUGAGCUUUCAGCACAAAACCCAGAUCUGUUGCUCAGAUAAGAAACAGAGUAUGUGUAGUUGAUGUGGUGUUCCUGCUGGCCAAACUCUGCCUGUUGAAAUCCAUCCUCAGCAAUGUCUUCUAGGAGAGCAACAUUUCACUUCUUUAAUGUGUGUAAAGCAAAUGGAGAAUUUGCUAGCUGUAUUGAGCAAAUAUACCGUGCUUUCAUUUGGACUUUUUCUUCCAGGUAUUUUUAAGUUGGGAGCAAAAGUCUUUAGAUAAAAUGUCAUGUGGCAUAACUCUGCUCAUUCUUGCACUAAACAUUAGGAGUGGAGCAUUCUUCUUCAUCCUCUUUCAUCAGACCUAACAUAUAAAUACAUAAGUAAAAUUAUAAGUUUUAUUGUGCACGGUGCCAUUUUGUUUUUCUUCUUUUGCAGAAAGUUUUUCUUCUUUUCCAGUCAUUGCAGCUGGCUAGUGAGCAGCAGAACUGAUCAACUCUGGCUGUGCAUUUCAUAAAGUUUUGAUUGCUUUAGCUAGCCUGCUACAUGGAUGUGUAAAAUCUCUAAAGAAUUUAUCCAGAGAACAUUUUGGUAGUACAUGUUUUUUCUUUGGUGUGGUGCUUUUUUGAAUGUUUUUAGUAGUGUGGAACAUUUCUAAGUGCUUGUUUGAGUGCUGUGCUGGAGCUUUUUGUUUCCAGUGAAAACUGAUGGAGAUCAACACUUUUUUGACACUCCUUGUACCAAGUGCUUAUAAAGUGUUUAUAUCUAUAAUUGUGUCAAAUUAUGUUAAUUAAGCACUGAAAGACACUAGUAAGUUGAAGUGCUCAAAAAGUGCAUUACUCUGAGUGUCACCCAGGGGCUCUUCACAGCAGACACUUGGGGGACAAGUUUUUUCCUUCCAAGCACCUUUAGAGCACUGUGUCUUAAAGUGUCUUUCUGGCAUUAAUUAAAUUUAAAAAAGCAAGUGCCAGUUAAGUGCAAAUGAUUUACUGUAAUCUUUUGAAAUGCAAAUGUAUUUUAGACUAAAAUGCCCUUCCCUUCUUACAACUCUUCAUUUUUCUCUUGUCUCCCACAUAUUUUCUUCCUGAGUAUUCAAUUGCUAAAAAUGGCCAUGGGAAAGGCUGCAAAUUAACUCCAUUAUGAAUAAUUAGGCAGAAAACACAACUAUUCAAAAGAUCAAAUGUUGAUGUUAGGGUAUCUAAUAACAUUAUGAAGAAAGAUCGUAUUAGUUUAACAGCAAUGCUGUGUAGACCUGGGCCACUCUCUGAGUUUGCUCAUAUCCACCCCUUUGCCCCCGGGGUUACUCAUGAAAUCAAUGCUGCAGGUUGCUAAAGUAUUUGCAGAAGACAAGAGAUAUGGCUUUCUUCCAGUGAGCUGAAAUCAUUUCACAGAGGAGGUAUUGGUCAUUAGCCAUACAUUAGUCAUGCGCCUGAGUUCUCAAAUACUACAUGGCUUGGCCAAGAUGAUCUAGUAAAAGGGAAGCUUAUGUCCCACAUGAAAUGAUUGAGCUCUACUGCUGUUUUAAGAAGGGAGAGCUUUGUAUGGCACAACAGAUAUUUAGAAUGAGGACACAUUGAAAAAAAAAAAAAAAAAAGUUUCCAAAGAAGAGUUCAGAGACAGCAGCCCAAGGACAGCAAAAUUUAAUACAUGCCUCACAUUCCUCCCUGACGAGGAAAAAAAAAAAAAAAAAAAAAAAAUCUGAAGUCUGAUAGUCUGAUCAAAAAAUAAACAGUUUUGGGAGUGUUAUUAGUGAAUAUCC